rnacentral:rRNA from 1 species
AACGAACGUUAGCGGCGCGCCUAACACAUGCAAGUCGAGCGAGAAAGGGAGCAAUCCCCGGUAAAGCGGCGCACGGGUGAGUAACACGUAGGUAAUCUGCCUCUGAGUGGGGGAUAACCUUCCGAAAGGAGGGCUAAUACCGCAUGAGACCACGCCUUCGAGAGGAGGAGGGGUCAAAGCCGGCCACUAUACAUAAGCUGGCGCUUGGAGAUGAGCCUGCGGCCCAUCAGCUAGUUGGUAGGGUAAUGGCCUACCAAGGCGUAGACGGGUAGCUGGUCUGAGAGGAUGAUCAGCCACACUGGAACUGAGACACGGUCCAGACUCCUACGGGAGGCAGCAGUGGGGAAUCUUGCGCAAUGGGCGAAAGCCUGACGCAGCGACGCCGCGUGAGUGAUGAAGGCCUUCGGGUUGUAAAGCUCUGUGGAGGGGGAAGAAUAAGGGUGACCCAACACGUCGCCCGAUGACGGUACCCCUUUAGCAAGCACCGGCUAACUCUGUG